GGCCAGUUAGCUCAGUCGGUAGAGCGUGGUGCUAAUAACGCUAAGGUCGUGAGUUCGAUCCUCACACAGGCCA
rnacentral:tRNA from 1 species